ACAAUAACCACGGUGGAGAUAGGAAGCUGAUGACCAUCUUGAUGCUGUACAGGGAUGUGGGCAGAGCAGAAGCAGAUGAUCAUAACCAGUUUCCUUGGUCACUGCCUUACCAGUCAGGAGAUACCUAACUCUGCACCACGUCAGCACCGUGUUCAGGUGCACCAGAGCCUCUCAGCUGCAAGUGACUGACCCUGAUUCCUGUCUCUGUGCUGUAGACCAUCAGUUCUGGGAGAUGCAGACCAACACUCCACAGGUUCAUGAUGUUCUCUGCAUCUGGUGAUGCCAGCAGCCGCAGGUACGAGUGCAUGCAUACGUGUGAAGGUCUUCUGGGUUGCUGCGCCAUGAAUUUUCACACAUCCGAGACUGUCAGCAUGGAACCUUUAAGGCCAAGGAUGCAGAGGGAUGGCUGUCAGCUUCUGUUGAUGGGUAGCAGCCUCAGCUCAUCACUGAGGCUCUCACAG